rnacentral:rRNA from 1 species
AAGGCUCGACUGCAUUCACCUCGCGUCUACAUGGACUCAAUUCUUACCUCUUGUUGGUGAUUUCGGUGUAUGGGGUGCACUUUUCUUCCAAUCGCUGUUGCAAGUGUAUGGAAUGUGGCUCUUUCGGGAAUGUGCCCGGCUAUGACUUAUGCAUUGGUUGGUAUCGAUGGCUUUGCUGUCUUUUGAAUGCGCUUGUGCUGCCUGGUGUUCUUAAACAUGUCUGAUGGUAUUUUGACCCAAUGUCUCUAACAUGUUUGCAAUUGUUGCCUUGGUAGACCCUAAUGCGUAAUUUAUCUGAUACCUUUUAAACUCGCGAGAGAGGCACGACCCCCCCUGGCUGAUCUUCCGUGACGCCUCACAUGUAUACCAUACAUUGUGAUACCCAAAACAUGGUGACCAAUGGAUAAUAACUUGUAAACGGGAUUACACUCGGGUGGAGGCUCACUGCUUUUCCGACCCCGGAUACCUUCGUGUAAUUUGGGUGUUCGCGCAAGCGAGUACUCCAACCAUCUACCAUCUGGUUUCCUUCCGAAGACCCGAAAGAUGGUGAACUAUGCCUGAUCAGGUUGAAGUCAGGGGAAACCCUGAUGGAAGACCGUAGCAAUUCUGACGUGCAAAUCGAUUGUCAGAGUUGGGUAUAGGGGCGAAAGACCAAUCGAACCAUCUAGUAGCUGUUUCCCUUCCGAAA